rnacentral:piRNA from 1 species
UGUCACUGCUUCUUAGGUCUACUGAUGAA